ACCAAUAUAAUAAUCAUCAUGCUCAUCCACCAGACCUAAAAUCUCGUAAUCCACGAAACAUCUCUGAUUAUCAUCUCAAGACACAAUCGCCUAACUAAAUCCAACUAACUAAAUCCAAACAUGUUCAAUAUCACAAUCACCUAAUUAAAUCCAUAUUAUUCAAGAUUAAUUAAUCCACCAAACAUCUUUGACUAUCUACUCAAGAUCACAAUCACCUAUAUAUAUUGAAAACUCUCGUAAUCCAUCAUCAAAUUUGUUCAAGAUAACAAUCGCCUAACUAAAUCCAAAUUGUCCCAUGUUUACUAAAGAAGUCACUACUUUCUUGAGAUUGAUGUUUCUUCUACCUCUAAUGGCUUCUUUAUUUCCCAAGAGAAGUAUAUUCAGGAUCAACAUUAUUGGGACUGCUAUGGAGCUCAACAUCCACCUUUGUGUCCACCUCCGCUCCCUGGAAAUCCAUAUGGGCGUCCAUUGCCUGGCGGCAGGUUGUUAUGUGUGCUGUCUUGAUCCCACAUCCCGUGUUCCCUUGCUGAACGACACCAUAACCGCACACUCAAGCUACCACCAAUGGCGAGCAAGAGCUUGGACAAUUGGCGCAUACCUGGAUUUUAAACACGGGACGCGCCCGAGAACACGACGCUACCUAUCGUCAAGGCCAAGGGCGCACAGUAGGAGAACGUGGGAUGCUUAAUCAAGUGCGUGAUACAAAGCCGCAAACAGUACAAGGACAUCAAGCCAGAUCAAAGGGGAACAGAGAGUGCACAGGCACGAGGGAUGCUGGACAAAGUCCAUCUGCUGCCACUAUCCCCUGUCUCUCUACCUCUCUUGCCUUGUUUACCAAUUGUUUUCGGUAGUGGCAUCAUCGCCUUGACUCGCUCGUGUGGCCCUCAUCUCUAUCCACCAAUAUGAUAAUCAGCAUGCUCAUCUACUAAACCUCGAUUCACAUAAUCCACCGGCCAUCUUUUACUAGCUCCUGAAAAUCAUAAUCACCUAACUAAAUCCAACCAGAUCACAAUCACCGAACUAAAUUAAAAUUGUUCCAAACUAAAUAAAAUAUCUUUUUAUCCAACAAUAUAAUAAUCAUCAUGCUCAUUUAUUAAACCUAAAAUCUCAUAAUCCACCAAACAUAUUCGAUUAUCUUCAUAGGACACAAUCACCUAACUAAAGGCAACUAAAAUCUCAUAAAUCAAAGAGAUUUUUGGUUAAAGAUAACAGUCACCUAAUUAAAUUCAAUUUUUUUCAAACUAAAUUAAAUAUCUAUUUAUGCACCAAUGUAAUAAUCACCAUUCUCAUCUACUAAACCUAAAAUCUCAUAAUCCAACAACCAUCAUUGGCUAUAUUCUCAAGACAGAAUCACCUAACUAAAUACACCUAAUCUCAUGAUCACUCGUCAAAUUAAAUAUCUGAUUAUCUACCAAUAUAAUAAUCACCAUGCUCAUUUCCAUACCUAAAAUCUCAUAAUCCACCAACAUUUUGACUUUCUCAAGACACAAUCACCUAACUAACUUCACCUAAAAUCAAAUAAAUCACCAAAAAUUUUGGUUGAAUAUCACAAUCACCGAACUAAAUCCAAAUUGUUCAAGAUUAAUUAAUCCANNAAACAUCUUUGACUAUUCCCUCAAGAUCUCAAUCAACUAAUUAGAUACGUUUAAAAUCUCCUAUUUCACCAUGAAAUUUGGUUAAAGAUCACAAUCGCCUAACUAAAUCCAAAUUAGGCCAAGUUUACUAAUAAUCCAUCUAUCCAUCAAUAUAAUAACCACCAAGCUCACCUACUAGACAUAAAUUCUCACAUAAUCCACCGAACAUCUUUGACUAUCUCACCAAGAUCAUAGUCAACUAAAUAAAUCCAACCCAAACAUCAAAAUACACUGUGAAUUUGGUUAAAAGUUCACGAUCACCUAACUAAAUUCGAAUUGUUUCAAACUAAAUGCAAGGUCAGUUUAUCCACCAAUAUAAUAAUCACCACGCUCAUGUACUAGGCUUAAGAUCUCAAAAUCCACCAAACAUCUUUGACCAUCUUCUCAAGAUCAUAAUAACUUAUCUAAAUCCACAUAAAUCAUCAUGAAACUCGAUUCAAUAUCGCAAUAGCCUAACUAAAUUCAAAUUGUUCAAGAUUAAUUAAUCCAUCGAAUAUCUUUGAGCAUCUUCUCAAGAUGAAAAUCAACUGACUAAAUUCAUCUAGAAUCUCAUAAUCCAUCAUGAAAUUCGGUUCAAGAUCACAAUCGCCUGACUAAAUCCAAUUUUUCUUAAGUUUAUUAAAAAAAAUACUUACCAAUAUAAUAACCACCAAGCUCACCUACUAGACCUAAAUUCACAUAAUCCACCAAACAUCUUAUACCAACUCGUCAAGAUCACAAUCACCUAACUAAAUCCAACCAAAAACUUAUAAUCCAUCGUGAAAUUUCAUUUAAGAUUGCAAUCACCUAACUAAAUCCAAAAUCUUUCAAAUACAAUUAAAGAUAUACUUAACAACCAACAUAAUAAUCACCAUGCUCAUCUAUCAUACCUAAAAUCUCAUAAUCCACCGAACAUUUUAGACUAUCUUCUCAAGAUUAAAUCACGUAACUAAAUCCACCUAAAAUCUCAUAAUUCAUCAUGAAAUACAGUUCAUAUCACAAUCAUCUAACUAAAUCCAAAUUGUCCAAGAAUUAAUCCACUAAACAUUUUCUACUAUCUCCUCAAGAUCACAAUGAACUAAAUAAAUGCAUCAAAAUCUCGUAAUCCACCAUGAAAUUUGGUCCAAGAUCACAAUAUUCUAACUAAAUCCAAGUUGCUUCAAGUUUAUUAAAGAUCCAUUUAUCCACCAAUAUAGUAACCACCAUGCUCAUUUAGUAGACAUAAAUUUUCAUAAUCCACCAAACAUCUUUGACUAUCUCGUCAAGAUCACAAUCACCUAACUAAAUCUCCACUUCAUCUCCAUUUAUUAAAACCAGAAUCAUCCCAUGGGCAUUAGUGACACCCUUGAGUUUUUAUAAAACAUCUAUGAGUAACAAAGAUUCUUCCCGAGUACUAUGAUUUACACGACUAGCAUGGCUAAGCAUUACUAUUAAACUUGGACAUAUGAACCACAUUUAUUUGCGACCACUACAUGGUUAGGAAGGAGGGGUAUUAAGAAUGUCAAAGGAGGGUGUCAAUAUCUUUUACAAGCUCGUAAAGACCCCAAUCACCCAACUAAAUCCAAGCAAAACCUCAUAAUCCAUCAUAAAAUUAGGUCAAAAUAUGACAAUCACCUAACUAAAUCCAUUUUUUCCAAAUUAAAUUAAAUAUUUGUUUAUCCAACAAUAUAAUAAUCCUUAUGCUUAUCUUGUAGAAAAAAAAUCUCAUAAUCCACCAAACUUCCUCGACUAUCUUCUGAAGACGGAAUCACCUAACUAAAUCCAACUAAAAUCUCAUAAAUCACCGAGAAAUUUGGCUCAAUGUCGCGAUCACCUAACUAAAUCCAAAUUGUUCAAAAUUAGUUAAUCCACCGAACAACUUUGACAUCUCCCAAAGAUCACAAUCUACUAACUAAAUCCAUUGAAAAUCUCGUAAUCCACCGUGAAAUUUGUUCAAGAUCACAAUUGCCUAACUACAUGCAGAUCGGUCCAUGUUUACUAAAGAUCCAUUUAUCCACCAAUAUAAUAACCACCGUGGCCCCUUACUAGACCUAAAUUAGCAUAUAUCAUCAAUCAUCUCUGACUAUCUCUUUAAGAUUACAGAUAUCUAACUAAAUCCAACAAAACCUCAAAAUCCCAUCAUGAAUUUGGCUGGAAAAAAACAAUCACCUAACUAAAUCAAAAUUGUUCCAAACUAAAUUGACGACCUGUUUAUCCACCAAUAUAAAAUCACCAUUCACAUCUUCUAUACCUAAAAUCUCGUAGUCAAGCAAACAUCUUUGACUAUAUUCUCAAGACACAAUCACCUAACUAAAUCCUCGUAAAAUCGCAUAAUCCAGCGUGAAGUUCGGUUUAGUAUCACGUCCACCUAAGUAAAUUCAUAUUGUCCAAGAUUAAUUAAUCCACCAAACAUCUUUAGAGUAUCUCCUUAAAAUCGCAAUCAACUAACUAAUCCAUCAAAAAUCUCAUAAUCCAUAAUAAAAUUUGGUUCAAGGCCAGAAUCGCCUAAUUAAAUCCAAAUAGUUUCAAAUUUAUUAAAGACUCAUUUAUUUACCAAUAUAAUAAUCAACAUGCUCAACUAUUAGACUAAAUUCACAUAAUCCAACGAAUAUAUUUUACUAACUCGUCGAAAUCAAAAACACCUAACUAAAACCAACCAAAACGCCCACCAUAAAAUUAGGUUAAAAGAUCACAAUCACCUGACUAAAUCCAAAUUGUUUCAAACUAAAUUAAAUAUAUGUUUAUCCACCAAUAUAAUAAUCAUCAUGCUCAUCUACUAGACCUAAAAUCUCAUAAUCCACCAAACAUCUCUGAUUAUCAUCUCAAGACACAAUCACCUAACUAAAUCCAACUAAAAUCUCAUAAAUCACAAAAAAAUAGUUCAAUAUCACAAUCACCUAACCAAAUCCAUAUUGUUCAAGAUCAAUUAAUCCACCAAACAUUUUUGACUAUCUCCUCAAGAUCACAAUCACCUAAAUCCAUUGAAAAAUCUCCUAGUCCAUGCAAUUUGUUUAAGAUCACAAUCGCCGAACUAAAUCCAAAUUGUUCCAUGUUUACUAAAGAAGGCGCUACUUUCUUGGAGAUUGAAGUUUCUUCUCUCUAAUGGCUUCUUUAUUUCCUAAGAAAAGCAUAUCUAGGAUCUUCUCACGCAUGCUGCUUUGAUGAGCACACUGCUGAGACCCCUAUGAAGCUCAACAUCCACUUUUGUGUCCACCUCCGCUCCUUGUAAAUCUGGAUGUGUAUCCGUUGUCUGGUGGCGGGUUGCUAUGUGUGUUGUCUUGAUCCCACAUCCCGUGUUCCCUUGCUGGUCGACACCGUAACCGCACGCUCAAGCACCACCAAUGGCGAGCAAGAGCUUGGACAAUUGGCGCAUACCUGGAUUUUAUACACGGGACGCGCCCGAGAACACGGCGCUACCUAUCGUCAAGGCCAAGGGCGCACCGUAGGAGAACGUGGGAUGCUUAAUCAAGUGCGUGACACAAAACCGCAAACAAGACAAGGACAUCAAGCCGGAUCAACGGGGAACAAAGAAUGCACGGGAACAUGGGAUGUUGGAUAAAGUCCAUCUGCUGCCACUAUCCUAGUCUCUCCACCUCUCUUGCCUUGUUUAUCAGCUAUUUUCAGUAGUGGCAUCAUCGCCUUGAGUCACUUGUGUGGCUCUCAUCUCUAUCCACCAAUAUAAUAAUCAGCAUGCUCAUCUACUAAACCUAGAUUCGCAUAAUCCACCGUCCAUCUUUUACUAGCUCGUCAAAAUCAUAAUCACCUAACUAAAUCCAACCAAAACCUUGUAAUCCACCGUAAAAUUAGGUUAAAAGAUCACAAUCACCGAACUAAAUCCAAAUUGUUCCAAACUAAACCAAAUAUAUGCUUAUCCAUCAAUAUAACAAUCAUCAUGCUCAUUUAUUAGACCUAAAAUCUCAUAGUCCACCAAACAUAUUUGAUUAUCUUCAUAGGACACAAUCACCAUUCUCAUCUACUAAACCUAAAAUCUCAUAAUCCAACAACCAUCAUUGGCUAUAUUCUCAAGACACAAUCACCUAACUAAAUCCACCUAAUCUCAUGAUCCCUCGUGAAAUUUGGUUCAGUGACACAACCACCUUAUUAAAUCCAAAUUGGUCCAGAUUAAUUCAUCCACCAAACAUCGUUGAUUAUCUUCUCAAGAUCACAAUGAAAUAACUAAAGCCAUCAAAGAUCUCAUAAACCACCAUAAAAUUUUAUUCAACAUCACAACCGCCUAACUAAAUCCAAUUUUUUCCAAGUUUAUUAGAAGAAUAUUUAUUUAUCAAUAUAAUAACCAGCAUGCUCACCAACUAAACAUAAAUUCACAUAAUUCACCAAACAUCUUUUACUAGCUCGUCAAGAUCACAUCCACCUAACUAGAUCUUAACUCUUUAAAACUAAAUUAAAGAUAUGUUUAUCCAUCAAUAUAAUAGUCACCAUGCCCAUUUACCAUACCUAGAAAUCUCGUAAUCCACCAAACAUGUUUUACUAUCUUCUCAAUUUUAAAUCACCUAACCAAAUCCACCUAAAAUCUCAUAAAUCACCGAAAAAUUUGGUUCAACAUCACAAUCCACUAGAGAUAUUAACCCAUGGGACAUCUUUGAAUAUCUUAUUAAGAUCACAAUCACCUAAGUAAAUCCAGCCAAAACCUCAUAAUCCAUCCUAAAUUUAGGUUAAAGAUCACAACACCUAACUAAAUCUAAAUUGAUCCGAACUAAAUUAAAUAUCUGAUUAUCUACCAAUAUAAUAAUCACCAUGCUCAUUUCCAUACCUAAAAUCUCAUAAUCCACCAACAUUUUGACUUUCUCAAGACACAACCGCCUAACUAAAUUCACCUAAAAUCAAAUAGAUCACCAAAAAAUUUGGUUGAAUAUCACAAUCACCGAACUAAAUCCAAAUUGUUCAAGAUUAAUUAAUCCANNAAACAUCUUUGACUAUUCCCUCAAGAUCUCAAUCAACUAAUAAGAUACGUUUAAAAUCUCCUAUUUCACCAUGAAAUUUGGUUAAAGAUCACAAUCGCCUAACUAAAUCCAAAUUAAGCCAAGUUUACUAAAACUCCAUCUAUCCAUCAAUAUAAUAAUGACCAUGCUCAUUUACUAGACAUAAAUUCUCACAUAAUCCACCGAACAUCUUUGACUAUCUCACCAAGAUCAUACUCAACUAAAUAAAUCCAACCCAAACAUCAAAAUACAUUGUGAAUUUGGUUAAAAGUUCACGAUCACCUAACUAAAUUUGAAUUGUUUCAAACUAAAUGGAAGGUAAGUUUAUCCACCAAUAUAAUAAUCACCACGCUCAUGUACUAGGCCUAAAAUCUUAAAAUCCACCGAACAUCUUUGACCAUCUUCUCAAGAUCAUAAUAACUUGUCUAAAUCCACAUAAAUCAUCAUGAAACUCUAUUCAAUAUCGCAAUAGCCUAACUAAAUUUCAAUUGUUCAAGAUUAAUUAAUCCAUCGAAUAUCUUUGAGCAUCUUCUCAAGAUGAAAAUCAACUGACUAAAUUCAUCUAGAAUCUCAUAAUCCAUCAUGAAAUUUAGUUCAAGAUCACAAUCGCCUAACUAAAUCCAAAUUUUCUUAAGCUUAUUAAAAAAUUACUUAUUCACCAAUAUAAUAACCACCAAGCUCACCUACUAGACCUAAAUUCACAUAAUCCACCAAACAUCUUAUACUAACUCGUCAAGAUUACAAUCACCUAACUAAAUCCAACCAAAACCUUAUAAUCCAUAGUGAAAUUUGAUUUAAGAUUGCAAUCACCUAACUAAAUCCAAAAUCUUUCAGAUACAAUUAAAGAUAUAUUUAACAACCAACAUAAUAAUCACCAUGCUCAUCUAUCAUACCUAAAAUCUCAUAAUCCACCGAACAUUUUAGACUAUCUUCUCAAGAUGAAAUCACGUAACUAAAUCCAC
rnacentral:lncRNA from 1 species